rnacentral:rRNA from 1 species
UGCAUAUUACAAAAGCGGAGGAAAAGAAACCAACAGGGAUUGCCUCAGUAGCGGCGAGUGAAGCGGCAAGAGCUCAGAUUUGAAAUCUCACCUAGUGUGCGAGUUGUAAAUUGCAGGUUGGAGUCUCGGGUUAGACGUGUGUGCAAGUCCCUUGGAACAGGGUGCCACUGAGGGUGAGAGCCCCGUAGCGUGCAUGUCGACACCUGUGAGGCCCUUCUGACGAGUCGAGUUGUUUGGGAAUGCAGCUCUAAGUGGGUGGUAAAUUCCAUCUAAGGCUAAAUAUUGGCGAGAGACCGAUAGCGAACAAGUACUGUGAAGGAAAGAUGAAAAGCACUUUGAAAAGAGAGUGAAACAGCACGUGAAAUUGUUGAAAGGGAAGGGUAUUGGGCUCGACAUGGGAUUUACGCAUCGUUGCCUCUCGUGGGCGGCGCUCUGGGUUUUUCCUGGGCCAGCAUCGGUUUUCGUUGCAGGAUAAGGACAAUUGGAAUGUGGCUCCUCGGAGUGUUAUAGCCUUUUGUAGAUGCUGCGUAUGGGGACCGAGGGCUGCGGCGGACUCGUUUCGUCUCGGAUGCUGGCACAACGGCGCAAUACCGCCCGUCUUGAAACAACGGACCA